AUGCUUUCUUCUAUCCACCGUCCAUAUUCCUAUAUUGUACCCUGUGGAAGGUUUCCAAAGAGAGUUGAAUUAUGGACUGCAGAUGGUAAGUUUAUUAGGGAACUUUGUGACUUGCCCCUUGCAGAGGACAUACCAAUUGCGACGAGCAGCGUGCGCAAGGGAAAACGUUCAAUCUAUUGGAGGCCAGACAAACCUUCAACUUUGUAUUGGGUGGAGACACAAGAUGGUGGAGAUGCAAAGGUUGAAGUUUCACCACGUGACAUAGUUUACAUGGAAAAUGCUGAGCCCAUAAAUGGCGAACAACCAGAAAUCCUACAUAAACUUGACCUCCGAUAUGGAGGAAUCUCUUGGUGUGAUGAAUCUCUUGCUUUGGUGUAUGAAUCAUGGUACAAAACUCGGAAAACAAGAACAUGGGUGGUUGCUCCAGACAAGAAAGAUGUCAGUCCGCGCAUUUUAUUUGACAGAUCUUCAGAAGAUGUGUACUCUGAUCCUGGCUCACCAAUGCUGCGAAGAACUGCCAUGGGAACAUAUGUUAUUGCAAAGGUUAAUAAACAAGAUGAAAGUACUUACCUCUUGCUGAAUGGAAUGGGUGCCACACCAGAAGGAAACGUUCCAUUCCUUGACUUGUUUGAUAUAAAUACUGGAAGUAAAGAGCGAAUAUGGGAAAGUGACAAGGAAAAAUACUUUGAAACUGUUGUUGCCUUGAUGUCAGACAAAAUUGAUGGGGACCUUCCCCUUGAUCAGUUAAAGAUACUUACAUCAAAAGAAUCAAAAACAGAAAAUACACAAUAUUACCUACAAAUUUGGCCAGAAAAGAAGCAAGUACAGAUUACAAAUUUUCCCCACCCAUACCCCCAGCUUGCUUCAUUGUAUAAGGAAAUGAUAAGGUACCAGCGCAAAGAUGGGGUUCAACUUACAGCAAAGUUGUAUCUACCUCCAGGUUAUGAUCAAUCAAAAGAUGGACCUUUGCCAUGUUUAGUUUGGUCAUACCCUGGUGAGUUUAAAAGCAAAGAUGCUGCAGGACAAGUACGUGGUUCCCCUAAUGAGUUUUCAGGGAUUGGUGCUACAUCUCCUCUUCUUUGGUUGGCUAGAGGGUUUGCUAUUCUUUCAGGUCCGACAAUCCCGAUUGUUGGUGAAGGUGAUGUAGAGGCAAACGACAGUUAUGUGGAACAACUAGUAACUAGUGCAGAGGCUGCCGUCGAGGAAGUUGUCAGGAGAGGGGUGGUCCAUCCUGAUAAAAUAGCUGUUGGCGGUCAUUCAUAUGGUGCAUUCAUGACAGCAAAUCUCUUAGCUCAUGCUCCUCAUCUUUUCUGCUGUGGAAUUGCUCGUUCUGGAGCUUACAACAGGACGUUAACUCCAUUUGGGUUUCAGAAUGAGGACAGAACACUUUGGGAGGCAACUAACACCUAUGUGGAGAUGAGCCCUUUCAUGUCGGCUAACAAAAUCAAGAGACCAAUAUUACUUAUUCAUGGGGAGCAAGACAACAAUUCUGGAACACUGACAAUGCAGUCGGACCGAUUCUUCAAUGCGUUGAAGGGUCACGGUGUACAGUCUCGUUUGGUAAUACUUCCUUUUGAAAGCCAUGGGUACUCUGCCAGGGAGAGCAUUAUGCACGUGCUUUGGGAGUCUGACAGGUGGCUGCAGAAGUACUGUGUAAACGGCACUAGCAAGGCUGAUUCAGAGACAGCAGCUGAUGGAGAAAGUAAAACAUUGGCAGCCAGUGGUGGUGGAGCAGCAUCUGAAGAUCAACUACUGUUAAAAUGUACGGGAAAUAAAAUCAUCUCUGGACAGCAUGCACAGGCCAAAAGGAAAAUAAAAUGUGCUGCCGAACUUGUAUGA
rnacentral:rRNA from 1 species